rnacentral:rRNA from 1 species
CCUACGGGUGGCAGCAGUGGGGAAUAUUGGUCAAUGGGCGUAAGCCUGAACCAGCAAAGUCGCGUGGGGGAUGAAGGUUCUAUGGAUCGUAAACCUCUUUUAUAAGGGAGUAAAGUGUGGGACUUGUCCUAUUUUGUAUGUACCUUAUGAAUAAGGAUCAGCUAGCUCCGUGCCAGCAGCCGCGGUAAUACGGAGGAUCCGAGCGUUAUACGGUUUUAGUGGGUUUACAGGGUGCGUCGGCGGCCUUUGAAGUCAGAGGUGAAAGUCUGUGGCUCAACCAUAGAAUUGCCGUUGAAACUGGGGGGCUUGAGUAUGUUUGAGGCAGGUGGAAUGCUUGGUGUAGCGGUGAAAUGCUUAGAGAUCACGCAGAACCCCGAUUGCGAAGGCAGCCUGCCAAGCCAUGACUGACGCUGAUGCACGAAAGCGUGGGGAUCAAACAGGAUUAGAUACCCGGGUAGUC